rnacentral:misc_RNA from 1 species
GUAGGUGAACCUGCGGAAGGAUCAUUAAUGAAUUUGUCUUCGGACAUUCUCUCAUACACCUGUGAACUUACCCUGUUGCUUGGUGGAUAUGUGGUCUAUGCCUUGUGCUAGACCCACCACCGAGAUUUUUUCAUCCAUACUAUGUCUGAAUACAAAAACAAAAAGCAAAACAAAACUUUCAACAAUGGAUCUCUUGGCUCUG